GUCUUGUAAUUGGAAUGAUGGGAAUUUAAACCUCUUCCAGAGUAUCAAUUGGAGGGCAAGUCUGGUGCCAGCAGCCGCGGUAAUUCCAGCUCCAAUAGCGUAUAUUAAAAUUGUUGCAGUUAAAAAGCUCGUAGUUGAAUUUCUGCUGCAUUGCUUUUGCUCCUUUUUGAGUUUUUGCAUUGUGGCUUAUUUCGGACUUUGUUUUUCAAUGUCCGGAUGUUUACUUUGAGAAAAUUAGAGUGCUCAAAGCAGGCUUUUGCCUUGAAUAGUUUAGCAUGGAAUAAUAAAGUAGGACUUUGGUUCUAUUUUGUUGGUUUUAGGUACCAAAGUAAUGGUUAAUAGGAA
rnacentral:rRNA from 1 species